UAGACUUGAAAAUUUAAUUCGAACUUUAAGGGACGCUUCAUGGGGCCAGACUAUAUCCUGCUUAUUCUUUUUAGCAAUUCUUGUUCUUUUCCUGACCGGAUUUUGCUCCAAUUACUGGCUCAAGUCGUCAAUAGUUGGUUCUGACUAUGACUACAGAAAUCAAGGACUGUGGAUGUAUUGUUAUGGGUCUUUAGAGACCACCUGCUGUGGAUAUAUAAAUGAGGUUAUGUAUAUAGAGCCUUUUCUUCAUGCUACAAGAGCCUUUCUUGUGAUAAGUCUACUUUUACAAAUUGCGUGUGGUAUCAUAAUCUUUUAUGAUAUAGAUAAGACCUGUGAUGAAAAUAAAGCUAUUGCAAGUGCACUCAGUGGAUUUUCAGCUUUCCUGAUCUUUUUAGCUGUAAUCAUAUAUGGCGCAGCUUCACAAGACGAGGACUCAACAAGCUCCUAUGGACUAGAUUGGUCUUUCUAUUUGUGCGUCUGUAGCUGCUUGCUUUACAUUUUUUUAUGUUUUUAUCUAAUUUAUAGAAAAUAUUUUGGCACAGACUGACUUUUUAUUGCACCGCAGUUCAUCAAAGAUAUAUAUUUGGAAAAAAUUAGGAUCCUUAUCAUUCAUCGAUAUGAAAUAGAAACAUUACUCUUGGGCUUUUAUCUUGAAAAAACAACAAGACUGAAUCUUUGAAUUUAAGUAUUUGUUUUAUUGCUUAUAAGAUAUAUGAAUACAAAAUGUACUGUUGACUAGAAUAUCUGCAAGAAACUGAAGUAGAUAUAUUAAAAAUUGUUUUUUAAAAAUGCUCUAAUUCAAGAUUCUUCUAUGUUAUGUCUUAUAAAAAGUGGUAAACAUCAGCUUUUUCAAAAUUUGCUGACACAUUGUGAAUAUGUAUUUUCAUGGGGUCUUUUUAAUUUGUAAAUUUAUGAAUUAUUCACCUACUUUGUAAGAACAGUCUCAAGAAGCAUCGUCCGCUGGGGAGUGUUCGGACUUUUCGUGCUAUAAGGACCCUAAUGAACCAUAAUUGUCUAUUCAUAUCUCAGUAUUCAUAUUUUGUUUAAAAUAUAAUUUACUCAAUAAAUGUAUAUUUACUGUUAAAUAAGUUGUAUUCGUAUUCAUCGACUUGUUCAGAUUUAUGUUUCCCUAUUCCUAUUCCUGUAUUGUUUAUGUAUU